rnacentral:rRNA from 1 species
AUUGAACGCUGGCGGCAUGCUUUACACAUGCAAGUCGAACGGCAGCACGGGCUUCGGCCUGGUGGCGAGUGGCGAACGGGUGAGUAAUAUAUCGGAACGUACCCAGAAGUGGGGGAUAACGUAGCGAAAGAUACGCUAAUACCGCAUACGAUCUACGGAUGAAAGCAGGGGACCGCAAGGCCUUGUGCUCCUGGAGCGGCCGAUAUCUGAUUAGCUAGUUGGUGAGGUAAAGGCUCACCAAGGCGACGAUCAGUAGCUGGUCUGAGAGGACGACCAGCCACCCUGGAGCUUGGACACGGUCCAGGCUCCUACGGGAGGCAGCAGUGGGGAAUUUUGGACAAUGGGCGCAAGCCUGAUCCAGCAAUGCCGCGUGAGUGAAGAAGGCCUUCGGGUUGUAAAGCUCUUUUGUCAGGGAAGAAACGGUAGAGGCUAAUAUCCUUUGCUAAUGACGGUACCUGAAGAAUAAGCACCGGCUAACUACGUG